rnacentral:rRNA from 1 species
UUCUUAUGGAAAUUAUCAUAAGUAAGUCCUGCCCAAUGAGAAGUUUAAUGGCCGCGGUAUCCUGACCGUGCAAAGGUAGCAUAAUAAUUUGCCUGUUAAUUGCAGGCUAGCAUGAACGGAUAAACGAAAUAAAGACUAUAUAAACUAAAAAUAAGAAAAUUAACUUAAAGGUGAAGAGGCCUAAAUAAAAUUGAAGGACAAGAAGACCCUACAGAGCUUUACUUAUAUAAAAUAUUAAAUUUUAAAGAGUUCGGUUGGGGCGACCUAGGAAUACUUAUCAUCCUAAAACAUAAAGGUACCUACACCUAAAAAAGAUCCUAAAAAGAUUAGCAGCAAAGCUACCUUAGGGAUAACAGGCUAAUCCUUCUAGAGAGACCAUAUUAACAGAAGGCCUUGGCACCUCGAUGUUGGCUUAGGAAUACUAUAUGAUGCAGAAGUCAUAAAAAGAAGGUUUGUUCAACCUUUAAUAUCCU